rnacentral:ncRNA from 1 species
ACGCGGAAGGGCGUAGUAAUCAACGAAAUACUUCGGGGAGUUGAAAAUAAGCAUAGAUCCGGAGAUUCCCGAAUAGGGCAACCUUUCGAACUGCUGCUGAAUCCAUGAGCAUGCAAGAGACAACCUGGCGAACUGAAACAUCUUAGUAGUCAGAAGUUCUUUUGUAGUAUUUU